rnacentral:misc_RNA from 1 species
GGAACGGAGGCCAAACAGCAGUGGUGCUCGGGGAGGAAGGAGGGGAAGAGGGAGAGGUAGUUACCAGUCAGAUGCCCCCAGAGGACGAUUUGGUUCUCGUAGUUUGGGCCGAGGAAGCAGCCAGGAUGGCAGUGACUACAGUCGGUUGAGAGGCAAUGGUUUCCCUCAGCGGGGUUACCACAAGGUUCAAUAGUAUCAUCAAUCAUCCAGUACCAGUUUGUGCAUAACCAUUAUGGAGAUGAAACUUUGGAGGAGUUUUAGAUAUGAAAGUGGUUACUACGUUUGAUGGUUCAGAGAAAGCAGCGUCUCCGCGGUGUGAGUGGUUUAGGGAAUUGGUUUGUACUUUGUGUUUUGAGCGUGUGAGUUGACGUUACUGAAAAUGUUAAUUUGUGAGGAAUUAAUUAUUAAGUUAAGAUGGUAAUUUUCCCCCUUGGAUGGUUUUUGAGAUGCAGUUCAAGUGGGGAAAUUUUGGCAUUUCAAGUACAAGCACUUGUUAGGCAAAUGUGAGGGAAAAAGACUUAGAGAUGAUCCUUUUCAUUAAAUCUUAUACUGAACUUGUUUGCUUUCGC